CGAGCCUGAGGCAGCCAGGCGAGCUGUCCCGGGGAGGGCGGGCGACCGGCGCGGGGGUAUGCGGUCCAGAGGAGGGAGCCUUGUCAAGAACCUCAAAAGUUGGAUCCUUUUCGCAGAGGACAACAUCGAGGCUCGCCUGGGCCAGAGAAGCUGCUCCGCAGCGGGCGAUUCAGGCCCACGCCCCUCACGCACCUGAGAGGAGCUUGGCGGUGUAAACAGGCCUAGGGGUCCCCAUCCGCAUUGGGCAGCCAAGCAUCGGGGGCGUGUCCUCCGCCGCCCCCACUGGCUCAGCGGGAAGAUGCAAACGGACCCGGGACUCGUGUACCGGUGCUUGUGUGAUAAACAUAUCACCGGCAAGUAAGUGUCUGACCUGAACUUGUCCGCGACCAACUCGAGUAAACUCCCUGGGGGGUUGUUUGCGGCGACCCAGAGGAGGAAGUUACCAAGGCGGACUUGGCGACCUGACCAGGCUUUGUGCAGCCAAGGGAGUGAUGCUGUGCUGAUCCGACAGGAGAACCAUUUCCAGAAGCGGCUCGUUGUUCUUUUUGCUCAUUGCCCGAAAGCGCGGACCACAGCAACGUGACCAGCAUCUUGAAAAUGAGUUGAGAUGUCAUUUCUCCUUCAAGGCACCAUCAGAUGAUCCUAGCAGCCUCCUCUGAAACUCCCCGUUUCAAAACAGAAUGGGGAACCUAGUGAUUACCUGUCAAAGCUUACAGACUAAGGAGUGAAAUUAUUUUUAAAAAACAAACAAAAGAUGGAGUGGCCUUGGAGAAUGCUCCUGAGCGGUGAGGAGCUUAUAGGUGGGGGCUGAAGAACAUAUCCUUUCUUUUCUCUUGCUGUCUCCUUCCUAGAGCUGCAGUCGGUGCGGUUCUGUACACAGAAGUCCUCGAGAGAAAUGCUUGUGGGCUGCUCUCCCAACUGCAUCCCUCUGGCGGAUCCAGGGGAGGGAGUCCCAUCUGGGUGCCACGUGGCUGCUGCAGUGAUGCAGAGCCCAGGAAGGACACAGUCCAACACCCCACCUCCUCCUGGCUCCACGCAGCAGGCUGAUGGGUCCCGGGAGGGAGGGACAGACUGACGGCUCUGAUGCAGAGUUAGAAGGACACCUCCAUCUUCCUGACUCGGCGUGACCUAGAAAAAUCCAUAGCAUCAGAACUUGGUAUUUGCAAACAAGCACAAGGAUCCUAUCAUUUUAAGCUGAGGUUCCAGUUGCCAUGUGACAAGUCUCUGUGACCACUUGGUUCUCAGACUGAGAACUUUGAGCACUUAAGGAGGGAAGACAGUCUAACUGCAAAAUAUGAUUAGCGUGGAAUCGGAUCUGCCGCCUUCAUCUCUUGGCAGGGGAAAUGUCCAGCAGGUUUGGAGCCUCAAGGAUCAGCCUGUUUUUAUAGAGAAACAUUAAAAAAACAAAACAAAACAAAACCCUGGAACUGAGCAAAAGAAGUCUCAUUUCAAACUGCAAAAAACACAUUCUUUGCAAAAUGAGCAGAAGCGUCUAUUCUACUCAGUCCAGACCCUGUAUUGGUUAGGGUUCUCCAGAGAAGAAACAGAACCAACAUGAUAUCUAUCUAUUUAGAAAGCAAAUGUUGAAGAGCUAAAAGGAAAAAUAAAAAACUCCACAAUCAGAGAACAAGCAGAUGAAAAAUAAUUAAGGUAAUAGAGAAUUUGACUACAACUAACAAACGAUCUAACCAACAGAUGUAAAACACGCACCUCCAAACUGUAGAACACAUGUUCUUUUCAGGUGCAUAUAGGGCAUUUACCUACAUAGAUCACAUGCCGGGCCACCAAGUGUGUCUCAACACAUAGCAGAGGAUUGAAUUCACUUAGGGUGUGUUCUCUCACAAAGUGAAAUUAAAUUCGAAAUCAAUAAUAGGUCUCUAGAAAUUUCCCAAAGUUUAGAAAUCAUGCAGCAGACUUCUAACCAUUCACAGGACAAAGAAGAAAUCACAGUGAAAAUUCCAAAGAUUCUCAGACGUAAAAAACCAUGUCAGGACUUCCCUGGUGGUCCAGUGGUUAAGACUCUGCGCUUCCACUACAAGGGCACGGGUUUAAUCCCUGGUGGGGGAACUAAGAUGCCGCAUGGCGCGGCCAAAAAAACAAAACAAAACAAAGCCAUGUCAUUUUCAGCAAAUGGCGAACAGCUCAGAAAGCCACAGACCUAGGGCGUGGCCUGGAGAAAGCAGGGAGAUGGAGAGGGAGACUCAGGCCAUAUCAGGCUAAGGAGUUUGGGCUUAUAAACAGUGGAAAGCCCUGGAGGCUUUUAACCAGGGGAUCUGCUGUGUGGAUGUAGAGGGUGGACUAGAGAUACUGGAGGGAAAGAAGGAUGGAAUGUGAAAGAAGGAGGCCAGUUGGGAGGCCCCUGCCUGAGAUACGAGAUCAAUAGCUGUUCUCCGGGGCUUCCCUGGUGGCGCAGUGGUUAGGAAUCCGCGCGCCAAUGCAGGGGGCACGGGUUUGAGCCCUGGUCCGGGAAGAUCCCAUAUGCUACGGAGCAACUAAGCCUGUGCACCACAACUACUGAGCCCGAGUGCCACAACUACUGAGCCCAUGGGCCGCAACUACUGAGCCCGCGCGCCUAGAGCCUGUGCUCCGCAACAAGAGAAGCCACCGCAGUGAGGAGCCCAUGCACCGCAACGAAGACUAGCCCCUGCUCGCUGCAACCAGAGAAAGCCCACGCUCAGCAAUGAAGACCCAAUGCAGGCAAAAAUAAAUAAAUAAA